UUAGCUUCAGUCAUUAUGUAUUGAACAGAAGCAAAAGCAUCAUCUCCUUCAUCUUCAGUUUGGAUCAAUUACUCAAGAACAAAAAGCAUAAUCUUGAUGAACAACAUUAAGAUGGGUAAAGUAUUGCGAGUUUGCUACUGUUUCUCAUGACAAGACAAUUAAACUAUGGUCUAGCAAAAAUGCUGAAAAGGAUAAGGCAAUGGAUGU
rnacentral:lncRNA from 1 species